GCCAGCGCCGCCGAGAAGCCUUUUCUGUUUAUGUUUCCUCAUUUCGGCAGUGACGUCAAAGGGUUUAGUUUUUCCUCUGCAUGUGCUAUUAAUUUUAAGCGACUGCUAUGGGAGGAAUGUGGCAGUGAUUUAGCCUAAGCGAAAGGAACCGGAGUCGUGAUUUAUCUGUCCUGGAUUCAGCUCUGAAAGGUUUUGUAUCCGGAGGUACCAGAAAGAUCCAAAAUACCCUCGCAACGUGGAGAAAAGCUAUAAAUAUGCUUACAUACAUUCAAGCAUUCUUAAGCACACGCAAGAUGUUUUCCAGGGAGGGCUGGGUUACCUCUAUGGGCCGUGGUGCAAAAUCAGAGCCGAUUCUGCCCUCGCCCUACAGUAAAUCAGGAACUGCUUGUCUAAGUUCAGCAGUGUCACACCAGUGUAAACCAGCCUAAGGAGAUAAGACUGAGACUACCGUACACAUCCUUUUAUCAGCCAGCAGGAGCUCCGCUGCAGAGCUGCUUUCCUCACCCCAUCCGAGGCACAGACGCCCUUGAGGGCUGAUCCGGGCGAGCAGCUGCUCCUUCCAGCAGCCAGCUGUGCUCGCCUCCGAGCUCGGCUGUGAACCAUCACACCGCCUUUUAUUCCCUACCAAAGUCCACAUCAAAAGGCAAAAGGAAGGUAGAGCCUGCCUUUCAGUAUAGCCGCACCAUUGACAGCGGAGAAGUCACGCUGCUGAAGCUUCGAGAAACAAAUAGUCUUCAUCGAGGUCAAUUAGCGUGGGCAAAAAAGGGCUAAACCAGCACAGGAUAAUUGAUAGGAGGCCACUUGACAACAGAACCAGUUUUGGGAAUGUCAGCUGAAAAUCAAAUGGAUUUCAGUGGGAGUGAUCUGGAGUCUGUGAAGAAAGACUGAGGUCGAUGCUGUUUAGUCCAAAGAAAGGAGAGUUGCAUUUAAAUGACUUCCAAAGUGUGUCAGUCGGAUUGCUAAGUGAAGAGGACGACAGCACAGUGCCCUCAGAGUCAGGUCUCCUGGCCACAGAGCAGUGAAAAGCCCCAGAGUCAGUGAAAAUCAUGGCAGCAAAGGUGCAGUUCUUACAGCUACCACAGAUGCACAGAGGACUCCAUCGCAUGGGACAAAGGAGCUGACACUCCGUUCCCAGGCACUGAAAAAGAAGGAGGAGCUUGAGUGACCCCUCAUGCUGCAUGGGUUUUGUACGGCAGGCACAUCAGAUCAUCUGAUGCAAACUGAAAACUCAUUAAAGGAGAUUAUGGAGCAAACUGUUGACCUUUAUUUUGUCACAUCACAAGAUCCAGUGAUGUGUAACCUCCUGCUAAGAGCUGCUUAGUGCCUGAAGAGUGGAAGAUGAAUGUCUGCCAGAUGAAGACUCGAUAUAAGGAUCUUGACUGGGCAUCAGAGCUCUGUGUUGGCUUUGCUUUGCUUCCUGCAGGAAAGGUAAGGGUCUGGUUUGUACCUCUUGGGUUUUCAAAUUAAAUACUUCCAGUGUGAUCCAAGAGUAUGCAACAUAACUAGUUUUUGAAUUCACAGAGAGAUUAAAAAGAAACCAUAGUUCAACGCGUGAACAGCCCCAUUCAUUGCAAGACUCUUACCUCAUGUAAAUAAUAUUUUAAAAUAUCAGCACUCUUAACUAUUUUGUUA